AAAAAUUUGAGUUUGAUCCUGGCUCAGAGUGAAUGCUAGUGGUAUGCUUGACACAUGCGAGUCGAACGGAGUGAUAUAAAAUUACUAAGUGGCGUACGGGUGAGUAAUGUAAAAGAAUUUAUAGUAUAGACUGGGAUAAAAUAUAAUAAUAAAUACCAGAUAUUUUGAAAGAGGUUUUCGCUAUACAAAAAGCUUUUAUAAGAUUAGGUAGUUGGUAGGGUAAGAGCCUACCAAGCCGAAGAUCUUUAGUUGGUCUGAGAAGGAUGAUCAACCACACUGGGACUGAAACAAGGCCCAGACUUCCAUGGAGGGCAGCAGUGAGGAAU
rnacentral:rRNA from 1 species